rnacentral:rRNA from 1 species
GACGUAGGUUGCAAGCGUUAUCCGGAAUUAUUGGGCGUAAAGAGUUCGUAGGUGGUAUGUUAAGUUGGAUGUUAAAACUUUGAGCUUAACUCAAAGUGUGUGUCCAAAACUGGCAAACUGGAGACAGGUAGAGGUAAGUAGAAUUCUGUAUGUAGGGGUAAUAUCCGUAGAUAUACAGAGGAAUACCAAAAGCGAAGGCAGCUUACUGGACCUGUUCUGACACUCAAGAACGAAAGCGUGGGGAGCAAACGGGAUUAGAUA